rnacentral:rRNA from 1 species
GAUGAACGCUGGCGGCGUGCCUAAUACAUGCAAGUCGAGCGAACGGACGGGAAGCUUGCUUCUCUGAUGUUAGCGGCGGACGGGUGAGUAACACGUGGAUAACCUACCUAUAAGACUGGGAUAACUUCGGGAAACCGGAGCUAAUACCGGAUAAUAUUUUGAACCGCAUGGUUCAAAAGUGAAAGACGGUCUUGCUGUCACUUAUAGAUGGAUCCGCGCUGCAUUAGCUAGUUGGUAAGGUAACGGCUUACCAAGGCAACGAUGCAUAGCCGACCUGAGAGGGUGAUCGGCCACACUGGAACUGAGACACGGUCCAGACUCCUACGGGAGGCAGCAGUAGGGAAUCUUCCGCAAUGGGCGAAAGCCUGACGGAGCGACGCCGCGUGAGUGAUGAAGGUCUUCGGAUCGUAAAACUCUGUUAUUAGGGAAGAACAUAUGUGUAAGUAACUGUGCACAUCUUGACGGUACCUAAUCAGAAAGCCACGGCUAACUACGUG